rnacentral:snRNA from 1 species
GGAUGUGAGGGUGAUCUGGCUGCGACAUCUGUCACCCCAUUGAUCGCCAGGGUUGAUUCGGCUGAUCUGGCUGGCUAGGCGGGUGUCCCCUUCCUCCCUCACCGCUCCAUGUGCGUCCCUCCCGAAGCUGCGCGCUCGGUCGAAGAGGACGACCAUCCCCGAUAGAGGAGGACCGUUCUUCGGUCAAGGGUAUACGAGUAGCUGCGCUCCCCUGCUAGAACCUCCAAACAAGCUCUCAAGGUAGUUAAAAAUACAAACCCCUCCAGGCUGAGGUAAAAAUGCCCCAACCACCAGGUACAUUGGCAUUUGCCUAUGU